UACGAGGGGUGCAAGCGUUAUUCGGAAUUACUGGGCGUAAAGGGUGCGUAGAUGGUUUUUUAAGUCUUUUGUUAAAGACCCCGGCCUAACUGGGGAUAAGCGGAAGAUACUGAUAAACUAGAGGAUGGGAGAGAGGAGUGGAAUUCUCGGAGUAGCGGUUAAAUGCGUAGAUCUCGAGAGGAACACCGAUGGCGAAGGCAGCUCCUUGGCCCAUUCCUGACAUUCAAGCACGAAAGCGUGGGGAGCAAACAGG
rnacentral:rRNA from 1 species